GUGCCUUUUUGUUAGUUGCUUUUAAGCAGUAAAACCCUCCUUGUUACUCUAUCUUGCUUUGACCUGCUUGCAGCCUGCACUAGCUUUUAAGCAGUCUCACCAACCUUCUAGGUGUACAUCGUCGUCAAUUAAUUCUCCAGCACCAACACCUGUUAUUGGCUAUCACUAGUGACGUUGGAUUGAGAAUAUUCAAAACCGGCAAUUUGCAUCAAUUACACUCAUACUCUUCAAGAAAAUACAGGGUUUUGAUUUCUCUAAUUGUCAAUCCUCAUCCAAGAUCGGAUUUUGAAGCCUGGGAAAUGCGUCAAGGCCUUUUAAAGAGCUUGUUCUCUUCUGACCCUGCCGCUUCAUAUAGGUUCAACUGGUAAUCUACCUCUUCCAAUCAUCCAAAAGAGGCUCCCAGAAGAUCAGCAUUAGCAGCCACCUAUAAAUCGAUCCUUGGGAGGUACCAAAUUCCGCUUAUCCAAGAACCAACUCAGGACAAGAAAACAACACUAAGAAUUCAAUUUACCAAGUACUGCAGCCUCCAAAACCCAUCUAACCUUCACCAUUUGUUGAACUAACCCAGACCCAAAGCUGCACUGAACAAUACCAAAGCUCUAGGUUCUGAUCAGUCUGCUACAAGACUACGGGAACUCAGAAAAUACAUUCGAGCUAAACCAGGCACACUUCAGGUCUGAUCGGGUCAACAGAUGAAGUGUAGCCCCGGAGAUCUAUUCAACUCGAGGGAUCGGUGGGGGAUUCUUUACUCUCCCUGUGCUGGUUUCAUAAAUACGUGCUGGUGAUGACUGGAAAGUGCUGCAAAGGGUGUUGAAGCAUGCUUGAUGUGUGAAAAUUAUAGUUUGUAAAAGACUAGUUUAUACAAAAGUUGACCUCAAUUGACUUUUCUAGUUUUUUGGUUGGUUUUUGUAGUUUUGCAUAGGUAACUGGAGCUUAUUUUUGAACUGUUAUAUCAGAUGGAAAACUUAAGUGUAACACGCGCUAAUUGUUGAACUAUUAUAGCAGAUGUGCAAAUUUUAUGAGAUUUUCGAAAUGAAUGCACAUAUUUGUGUAAAAGAA